rnacentral:rRNA from 1 species
GACGAACGCUGGCGGCGUGCCUAACACAUGCAAGUCGAGCGGGGACAGUUGGAAGCUUGCUUUUGUACUGUUUUAGUCGGCGGACGGGUGAGUAACGCGUGAGCAACCUUUCCCAGACAGGGGAAUAACACACCGAAAGGUGUACUAAUACCGCAUAAGACCACGGGAUCACAUGGUUCUGAGGUAAAGAUUAUCGGUUGGGGUGGGCUCGCGUCCGAUUAGGUAGUUGGUGAGGUAACGGCCCACCAAGCCGACGAUCGGUAGCCGACCUGAGAGGGUGGAUCGGCCACAUCGGGACUGAGACACGGCCCAAACUCCUACGGGAGGCAGCAGUGGGGAAUAUUGGGCAAUGGGGGGGAACCCGUGACCCAGCAACGCCGCGUGGAGGAAGAAGGUUUUCGGUAUCGUAAACUCCUGUCCUUGGAGACGAGUAGAAGACGGUAUCCAAGGAGGAAGCCCGGCUAACUACGUG